GCAAUCAUCAUCUACGUGGAAUUUUGAACUGCAGUUCAUGGGAAUUGAUAGGCACUUAUAUAAGGACCCAGAUUAUGGAAUCUUGGCCAUUCUUUGCAACACCAAAGUAUAUAGUUGUAAAUAUCAAUAUCUGUUAUUGCUUCCUGCAGCAUGGAGUGAAGAGAUUCAACUCUCCUUUUUCAGCUGGUCACUGGACAUGUUUGGAAGGGAAUUACCUUUGGUUGAUUCAAGAGUCCAGUUGAAACUCCACUGAAGUACCAUGGCUUGUUGAAAACUACAUGAAGAAGGAUAUUACACUUUGUAGAAACCAAAUCUGUUAAGGGAUCGGAUGAUUACUUUAUGUAUCAGAUCUUCAAGAUACAACAGUCUUAGUCGCUCAUUUUAUCUAUUGAUGAGGUAAUGUUGUUCAUGAUGCUGAACAGUAAAACUAGGAUGGGUCAUGGCGUUUGUAUUGGACAGUCAUUCCUCCUGCUUUUCAAAGAAAGCCAUCUCCAGGCCUCCAACUGAAAAAGGUUUCUGUCAGGUGUGCGUCGGACUGCCACUUAAUGUGUUGGCCAUUUUUUUGUUUUUAAGCGUUCACUUAAUAUGAUGUCAUUGUUGUAUUUUUAGAA